AAUUAGAAGAGAAUGGUCCAAUGAAUCAUGUCCACAUUGCAAACGUCUAGGAAUCCAUGUGCUUAUAAACUGACUCUUGAGGUGGAAAACAAAUGCCUGCUAGGGUUGCAGACAUGAUCACAAGUAGGAGAGAGACGGUAAUCUGCUCUUCCCUGGGUCCUAUGUCAUUCUUGCCAACUUAUUCACAGGUAGGGCCUGUAAAUGUUUUCAAAACAUUUCUUGUGAUGUCAUUGUGAAUCUUCCAGGAGGAAUCUGAUGAAGCCAUGCUGUUGUUUUGCCAUCUUUACUUUUUCCCAGCCUGAGGGAACCUGGAAAAUACAAUGUUCUUAUUAGCCUCAAGUCUUAACAAAAUUUACAAACUCUUAUCAGUCCUAAGAAGAGCUUCUACUGCUACGUUAGCAGAAAAAAAUAAACAAGUUUGGCAAUAAUCUUCCUUCAAGUCCACAUCCAGAAACUGCUGAACCAACCUCUUAAUGACACGCCACAACUGAACAGACCACACAGAACUCUGUCUGGGAAGGAUGGUUUUUAAGAGCUCUUGACCCAAAAGAAGUAAAAAAUAAAUAAAAUAAAAUAAAAUAAAAUAAAAUAAAAUAAAAUUAAAUUAAAUUAAAUUAAAAAGGCAUAAACUUUCAAGCCAAACUUUAGGCUCUUUCUUGGAUUCAUUAGCAACUCCAGGAUAAAAACAACUUGACUUGGGGUUCUAAAUGUAUCCAGAACUGUUGGUGACCUGUUUGGGAAGACUGAAAAAAACUGGCCAGGGAUGAACUGAUCAGCUUUGCCUGGAAUGUGACUGAGCCCCUUUGUACAUGGAAAUGUACUCAGAGGAAUUCCUAGCAUUUCUGAUUUCCUGGUAUUUUCCAUUAUUUUAAUCAAGGCCUGCUUGAAAAGCUUGGGUUUGCUUUUCUCCUUGUUCCAGCCACUUCUCUGUGCUCCAAUCUGGCUGUGUAUGUGGUUCAGUUUGGAAGAACAGGUUUUGCAUUUUCCGUUUAGAAAUCCAGUGAGUCCUGGAAUAUAUGUGAUUUAGAGGGAAGAGCUUCCACAUAUUAUUUCAGCCUGACAAGUGGGACUGUAGAAAUGGAGAAAGCAACAUGGAGAGAAAAUCCAGCAAAGCCUUACCUUCACACAAGACAAACAGACACUGGAAAAUCUUGAGGUUUUUGUCUCGUGAUUAAUGUAUGUCAUAAAUUCUCGUUAAAUAUUCUCUGGAAUGGUACAAAUCUGAGACACGUGAUACGUAUUCACAAACAAGCUCUUGUCUGAAUUAAGGUGCCAGAAUGCCUGCUAUAGGACGUGUAGGCAUGUACUUCAACUGCUCUUCAAAAUUUCUCACUGCUCUCCAUCAGACUACAGUGGAAGGAUUGUAUCUUCGUGUAAAGAGAAGUUUUUUGCCAUUCCCAGUCCAAACAGUGUCAUCGCUGCUAAAGUUAAGGCAUCAACCAAAAUUUUAAUUGGGAUUUUUUCACUCAAAACGUAUUUUACUCAUGCUAUCAAAUAGAUUAUGUACAACUACUUAAAUACUGUUAUCAUAAAUGGAUUUAAAACAUACAUGAAAAGCUAAUCAUGUAUCUGAAAUAAGCGUGUACAAGUUUUAUGUUAUGCAUGCUGAAUCAUCUUGCUGUGGUUGGAUGUAGUUCUCCAAAAAGACAGGCACUGUGUGCCAUUAUCACUCUACAAUAUUAAAUUUUUAUUAGGCCUUCAUUUGAUCACCAGGGUUAGAAUCUAUUGGUAUGGAAAUAAAAGCAAAGAUAUACUGGUCCAUACCAAAAGACAAUUAGUUAAAGUGGCCUUAUGUCUUGCUUUGGCCAUAAAUGGUUGGUUAGAGCAAAAACAUAAAUAUGGGCAAGAGUGGAAUGAUGCUUCUUUUAGUAGACUCUCUAGCUAUCAGGACAUAGAGACUAAAAGAGCUAUGACAGAUUAUGUCUGUAUCAUCCUGUCUAAUAGUUCUUCUGGUCUAAUUCGCAGACCAUAAAAUUGACUGAUAGUAUUUUAAUACAUUUAUUCAUCUGUAGGAACUAAUUUUUAUUGUUAACUUAUGGAUUGUUUUCUAAAGUACUUCUUGCUUAAUGUAAGUCUGUCACUUGAUCAUUUCAUCACGUCCCUUCUGGUUCUUAUGUUACUUAGAAGGAAUGAGCAAUCAUGCCUUCCUACAAAAAACUAUCACAUACUCUGUUCCUUCAGCGACAUCCAUCCUAAACUGCAGAGUUAUAGCCCAUGUAAGCCUUUCCCAAUGGAAAUAUCUGUAUAUUUCUAAUCAUUCACAGUGAUCUUUAUCUCUGACUUCAACUGCAAAGAACAAGAGUAUGUUCCUGCUCAUGGUUUGGAGUCAUUUUUCCUUUUAUGUUCUGUAUAGCAAUUAUGAACCUCAAUUUCAUGCUCAGCAUCAUAUGAAUGUACUAAACAAUAGUUUUAUACACAAAUAAAAGUUAUUAACCAUAUAUUUCAAUCAAUAUUCCAGAAAAAAAAAAAAGAAAGAAAGAAAAAAAAAAACAAUGGCAGACAGCUACAUGAAAAAGGAAGCAGCCAUUAGUACCAGCCAAGGUAAACAAAGAGAAUUUCUGUUCAUGUUCUCUUAUUGUACUUUGAAAGUGAAACUUAAAAUACAGAUUUUUUUUUUUGGAUUCAACAAAA